GGCUCAGAACGAACGCUGGCGGCGCGCCUAAUACAUGCAAGUCGAGCGAGAAGACGUAGCAAUACGUUUGUAAAGCGGCGAACGGGUGAGGAAUACAUGGGUAACCUACCCUCGAGUGGGGAAUAACUAGCCGAAAGGUUAGCUAAUACCGCAUACGGCUCCUGGUCUGCGGAUCGGGAGAGAAAGCGAUACCAUGGGUAUCGCGCUCUUGGAUGGGCUCAUGUCCUAUCAACUUGUUGGUGAGGUAAUGGCUCACCAAGGCUUCGACGGGUAGCUGGUCUGAGAGGACGAUCAGCCACACUGGCACUGCGACACGGGCCAGACUCCUACGGGAGGCAGCAGUAAGGAAUAUUGCGCAAUGGGCGAAAGCCUGACGCAGCGACGCCGCGUGGGGGAUGAAGGUCUUCAGAUUGUAAACCCCUUUCGGGAGGGAAGAUGGAGCGAGCAAUCGUUCGGACGGUACCUCCAGAAGCAGCCACGGCCAACUUCGUGCCAGCAGCCGCGGUAAUACGAAGGUGGCAAGCGUUGUUCGGAUUCACUGGGCGUACAGGGAGCGUAGGCGGUUGGGUAAGCCCUCCGUGAAAUCUCCGGGCCUAACCCGGAAAGUGCAGAGGGGACUGCUCAGCUAGAGGAUGGGAGAGGAGCGCGGAAUUCCCGGUGUAGCGGUGAAAUGCGUAGAGA
rnacentral:rRNA from 1 species